AGCAGCCGCGGCAAUUCCAGCUCCAAUAGCGUAUAUUAAAGUUGUUGCAGUUAAAAAGCUCGUAGUUGAACUUCGGGGUUUACCCAUUGGUCAGGCUUAAUUGUCUGUACUGGUGAGAUAAAUCUCUACCUUCUGAGGAACUUUCAUGUCAUUAAUUUGGUGUGAUUGGAAAUCAGGACUGUUACUUUGAAAAAUUAGAGUGUUUAAAGCAGGCUAACGUCUGAAUACAUUAGCAUGGAAUAAUGAAAUAGGACGGACUGAUUCUAUUUCGUUGGUUUCUAGGAUCACCGUAAUGAUUAAUAGGGAUAGUUGGGGGCAUUAGUAUUCAAUUGUCAGAGGUGAAAUUCUUGGAUUUAUUGAAGACUAACUACUGCGAAAGCAUUUGCCAAGGAUGUUUUCAUUAAUCAAGAACGAAAGUUAGGGGAUCGAAGACGAUCAGAUACCGUCGUAGUCUUAACCAUAAACUAUGCCGACUAGGGAUCGGACGAAGUUAAUUUAUAAUGACGUCGUUCGGCACCUU
rnacentral:rRNA from 1 species